UUGAAGAUCCAGCAGGGAAAAAUAUGUUCUAGAUAGAGAAACUUUUGCCUUCCUGCUCUGACAUAGCUCCAAAUUUUUAAAAGAUCUUAGCUCCUAUAUUUUGGCUCCAAAGUGAAGCGGCCAGAUUUUGAAGAUACUGUUGAGCCCUUUAGAAAAUCUGGACAAUUCAUUUAAGCGCCUAAAUAGAAGCUGAGGUUUGUUUGUUUUUUUAAUUAGCUUAUAAUAUUUCUUCAUAGCUCUCCUAAACCUCCUUGGCUUUGUGUUAUUACUGCUCUAUUGAAUGUGUAAUCAUACGUGUAAUUUCGUGACCAGUAUCACCCUGAAGCAUUUCAGUGACAUGCCUUUCCAUGUCUUUCCACCCACAGAACAUGUACACAUUUGCAAUUUUUUCCCCCCUGGGGACAUUAGGCUGAAUCUCGUUUUAUAAUUUCAUGGCUAUAGUUCUAACCUUCCUCAGUCCCUUCAUAUUAUUCCUCUCUUGUGUUUGUAACACAUCCCAAUUCAGUGUGAUCUAUUCAUUUAACUUUCAUAUGUUAUCUAAUCUUGUUUUUUCAUUUCUUAGGCUUUUCUGUUAUUUGUGCUUUGGCACAGAAGGGGUUAACUCCAGAAACUACAAUAUUGUAGCUUGAAAAAACACAUACACAACCGCCUUGUUGAUUGAACCACACAUUUAGAAUUCUGUCUACAUUCUGCAACACCUUUUCAGCUCAUCAGGAGAACCCUUGGUGAAGAGAUUCAUGCUGAGGGAGUGAGAGCCAAGAUUUAGAUCAGUAGUUUGGUCUAAAUGGCGGUUGAUUAUCAGAUGGGGAGAACAAAGGAAGAAGAGCUAAGGGACUUGUGCAAGGUUACACAGUGAGUCGGUGGCAGUUGCAAGUAGAACCGAAGUCUUCAAAUGACCAAUCCUCCGCUAAUUUCUAGACCACAGUGCCCUCAAAUCAUAAGGGAAGACUCCUAGCAGCCGUGUUCAGAUGGGGAGGAAUCACACUGGGUGGAAGCUGGCUAAUGAAAAUGUAGCCAACUGAUCUGCUUAGAUCAAUGACAUGUUGCUUUAAGGGCUGUUCUUUGAGCAUGAGCAAAACAAAAUAUUAUUGAAUAGUAACUAACAGGGAUUCCGUAUCUUGUCCGGUAGAGAGUCCUCAUGGCAACGCUUCCGCCACAACAGUAGCAUUCAUUCAUGUCACUUGCUACUUGACAUCCAAGACAAUAGAAGCAGAAUGCUCCACAUAGGCCUGGAUAAAGACAAACAAAUGAGGCUCACUCAAUGUUCUCCCCUUCAUUCAUGCAGACAGUUAACUUUCACCACCACUUUUAGGAGAGAUGUAGAAAUCGCUACAAAAUCGGAAGGAGAAAGUUAUGGAUGUGCCAAUGGGCCAGAGCUAGUGCGAAGGAGGCCAAGAUCUUUGAAAGACUUUUGAAGGAAUAGUGAUGUCAUAUGAAUGGCAGCUUGCCCCCCAUAAUGACUUAAGGCCAUUUCUUCACUGCCAAAAAUAGUGUGUGUUUACAGUGGGAUAACACACAUGUUUCAGCUGUCUCAGUGGAGGCGAGGCAUUAUAGUUUUUACCAUGAUGUAACUAAGCGAGGUGAACCACAGGUGCGGGAGAUAGGGUCGCACUUGCAUAGCUACAUUGCUAAAAGCUAUAUGAGCACUUUGCCUCCACUGGGAUUUUACAGCAAGAUAGCUAACCCAUGUUAGUUAUUCUGCUGUAAACACACUCCUUUUUUGGUCUGUGACCACGUAUUAGUGCAGAUGCUUACAAGUUCACUGACCAGUACAUGAACUUGGCAAAGUUGUUGCUAGUGCACUAGGCGCUAGAUAUUUACAUAAAUAUAUUCCAGCUACUACAGAUACAUCCCAAUCGAGUACAAGAUAAUGAAUAGGGAUGUUUUGCCCAAGAUAUCAGGAACAAGGGGAAGUAACAGAGGUCAUGAAACACGUAGGCUGGAAUGUAAGUUGUUUAUCCCAGUUGUUUGUCUCAGUCUAUAAAUGGCAGGGGACGGCAGAAAUUCCCACUGCUGACUGAGCUGCUCCUUGCCACUGGGCACUUGUGUUAAUGUAUCUGUAGCUCCUAUGGGAUGCUAGUAUUGUGACCAGACGGCAAUAAACCUGGCCGAGUGCCUUUGUCCCCAAACCAAGCCCGUGGUCUUUCUUUUUGAGUAACAUCGUGGCCUGCUGAAUUAGCAGGCUGCACUGCGAGUAUGGCUCUCCCAGGACAGAAGCACUGAGCAACCUUACCCAGGCACUGACAUUCCAGCCUUCUACACUUAGCAACACCUUGCUUUGUGUGUGAGUGGGUGAUGUAGCCACCUAGUCACUGGCUCUCAGAGUGGAUAUGGGAAAUCCAACUACAAGCCACUCCUAUAAAUAAAUAUAAAAUAGACAAAUUGGAUUCUCCCAAUUUAAAGUCAAACCCACUAAAAGACUGGAGAUAUAAUAUUAAGCCAAACAUCAAGACACCUCAAACCCAAACAAAAAUACAAUAUUUGACUAUCCACUUACAGACUCCACAGUCACUGCAGCAAUCCAUCAACCCGGUCUGCCAGACAUUACUUUGUGCAGUAGCCACAGAAAAUUGGGGCUGUACAAAGAUGACAGGUUGAGAAUUCAUUUUUAGUUUCACAAGAUGAGUUCAGAAGUUUAAUUUCUGAAAGGAAAACAAUAAAAGGAAUGGUUUGAAAUAGUCUGUUAGGGACUAGCUGUGUCACAAAUAGUCAGGGUGUCUAAUGUCAUUGUGGUGAUGUAAUUAGAGGAAUGUUACCCACAUCUCUUUGUGAAAUGGCAUGUUUCUCACUUCAUUGGAAGCAAUGCUAUCCACUGGAUAACUGGCCAAAUUGUUGUCGACAGAGAUAGACCACGAAUUAAUUUGGCCCAGUUUCUUCUGUCCAGAUUAUGAAUAGGUGUACAUUUUCAUCCAAAAAGCCCAUCUCUCCCUAACAUCACAUUGGGGCAUAGUUCAGUCCUGAUUCAAAGGAAAGGGUGCCACUAACUAAUGGCCAACGUAUCUUCCAGCAACACCUAACGGUUCCCUGGUCAUCACCCAUGUGAGUCCUGGCCUACUCUGGUCAUCCGUUCCGUGUGAUCCGAGACCAUCACAACACAAAUACUAUGGAGGUUAUUGCAGAAAUGGAACUCUCGCUCUUCCUGCUGUUCGCAAAGAGGCAGAUUAGCUCCAAGAACCAGGAUUUUCCUGCUGCAGCCAACAAAAUUCUGAGAUGUCAUUUACUCAGGCAAACUUCUUUUGAGUUCAGUGGUGGUCUGACUAAAAUCAGGAAUUACUCUGGCACCAACAAACAGCUUUCAGACAUUUUGAAACAACAGUGUACAUUAGUACAUAUUGAAAAUAUAGCUGUCAAAGGCACCCAUCACCUUAAAAAAAAAUCACUGAAGUCUGAAAAUGUUUCAGCUACUAUUGUUAUAUGUAACAUCUAAGAUGAUUAUCAGUGAAAGAUUAAAGAAAACAUUUUUCUGA